CGGGGCGUAGCGCAGCCUGGUAGCGCACUGCAAUGGGGUUGCAGUGGUCGGAGGUUCAAAUCCUCUCGCCCCGACCA
rnacentral:tRNA from 2 species